rnacentral:rRNA from 1 species
GACGUAGGGCGCGAGCGUUGUCCGGAUUUAUUGGGCGUAAAGAGCUCGUAGGCGGCUUGUCGCGUCAACUGUGAAAACCCGUGGCUCAACCAUGUGGUCUGCAGUCGAUACGGGCAGGCUAGAAUUCGGUAGGGGAGACUGGAAUUCCUGGUGUAGCGGUGAAAUGCGCAGAUAUCAGGAGGAACACCGGUGGCGAAGGCGGGUCUCUGGGCCGAUAUUGACGCUGAGGCGCGAAAGCCAGGGGAGCGAACGGG